rnacentral:lncRNA from 1 species
AGUGCCUCUAGGCACCCAGCAGAAGCAGCCUAAACACUCUGGAAGGAUGCCACUAAACCCAGACCUCAAUGAUUUCCUACAAAGUUUCAAGUAGCAUGGCUCAUAAUAAGAAAAAAAAGUAUCUCAUAUAUAAGAGCUAUGACAUUUCAAUUAAAAAAUUAAAAAGUAAAAUAUCUCACCACACAAGGAAAUAAACCCCUAAAGCAGAAACUACCAACCAUUGAACCACACUUAUAAAGGUCAGAGAUACUGUUAUUGUCAUAUGUUGAAUAUAAUUUAAAUAUGUUUAGUAUGUUGAAAUAAAUCAGAGGAAAUGAAAAACACAACCAAGAAAAAGCUAUCAAAGUUAGUCAAGCAGAUUUCACAAAGCAUCAAACAAAAUUGAUAAAAAUAAUAAUUGGCAUUAAAAACCCAUUUGAUGGGUUAAAUCACAGAUUAAAAGUGAGAGAAAAAAAUUAGUGUUAGAAGCAUGGUAUGAAGAAGUUACAUAGAGUAUAACACAGAAAGAAAGAGAUGUCAGAAAGUCAUAGAUACCUAGACAGACACAAAAUAAGAAGAAAAUAAAAAUUUAAAAAAAACAGAAAGAAAGAGAUGGAAAACGCGAAACAGAGAUCUAAAAGACACAGAAGCCAAGUGUGGUGGUUCACACCUGUAGUCCCAGCUACUGGGGGAGGAGGAGGCAGAGGCCUGAGGCGGGAGGAUGACUAAGUCUAGGAAUUCAAGGCUGUAGAGUGCUAUGCUCACGCCUGUGAAUAGCCACUGUACUCCUGCCUAGGCAACCUAAUAAAACCCCAUCUCAAAAAUGAACAAACAAACAAGACACAGAAGAGAUAGUAAGUGUCAAUUGUACAUCCUACAAUCAGAGUUCCAGAAGGAGAUAACAGAAAGAACAGGGAUUAGCCUGGUGUGGUGGUGCACACUUGGAUCCAGGCUACUUGGGAGGCUGAGGCAAGGAUGAUCACUUUUCUCCCAAUUUUUUUGUAAACCUAAAACUGCUCUAAAAAACGUUUAUUUGUUUAAAACAUAUAGGCUUGGUUUUGAAAGUUUCACUAGUUGGCAUUUAAAAGUUUCACUAGUAAGGUAUGAUGAAGCCACUGCCCUCUAGCCCGGGUGACAGAGGGAGACCCUGUCCCCCCCCCCAAAAAAAAAACAAAGGAAAGAAUAGGAGAGACACAAUAUUUAAGAGAUAUUUAAAGAGAUAAUUAUAAAAAUAAUAUUUGAGAACCAGGCCAGGAGCGGUGGCUCACGCCUGUAAUCCUAGCACUCUGGGAGGCCGAGGCGGGCGGAUCGCUCAAGGUCAGGAGUUCAAACCAGCCUGAGCAAGGGCGAGACCCCGUCUCUACUAUAAAUAGAAAGAAAUUAAUUGGCCAACUAAUAUAUAUA